rnacentral:rRNA from 1 species
CAAUGGACGCACAUCUGAACCAGCCAUGCCGCGUGAAGGCUUAAGGCCCUCUGGGUUGUAAACUUCUUUUAUAGGGGAAGAAAUGUGACGGUUCUACGUCACUAGACGGUACCCUGGGACUAAGCAACGGCUAACUCCGUGCCAGCAGCAGCGGUAAUACGGAGGGUGCACGCGUUAUCCGGAUUCACUGGGUUUAAAGGGAGCGUAGGUGGGCAGAUAAGUCAGUGGUGAUAUCUUCCGGCUUAACCGGGAAACUGCCGUUGAUACUAUUUGUCUUGAAUAUUGCGUAGUUUAGCGGAAUAUGUCAUGUAGCUGUGAAAUGCUUAGAUAUGACAUAGAACAUCAAUUGCGAAGGCAGCUUACUACACAA